rnacentral:rRNA from 1 species
GACGAACGCUGGCGGCGUGCCUAAUACAUGCAAGUUGAACGAACUCUGGUAUUGAUUGGUGCUUGCAUCAUGAUUUACAUUUGAGUGAGUGGCGAACUGGUGAGUAACACGUGGGAAACCUGCCCAGAAGCGGGGGAUAACACCUGGAAACAGAUGCUAAUACCGCAUAACAACUUGGACCGCAUGGUCCGAGUUUGAAAGAUGGCUUCGGCUAUCACUUUUGGAUGGUCCCGCGGCGUAUUAGCUAGAUGGUGAGGUAACGGCUCACCAUGGCAAUGAUACGUAGCCGACCUGAGAGGGUAAUCGGCCACAUUGGGACUGAGACACGGCCCAAACUCCUACGGGAGGCAGCAGUAGGGAAUCUUCCACAAUGGACGAAAGUCUGAUGGAGCAACGCCGCGUGAGUGAAGAAGGGUUUCGGCUCGUAAAACUCUGUUGUUAAAGAAGAACAUAUCUGAGAGUAACUGUUCAGGUAUUGACGGUAUUUAACCAGAAAGCCACGGCUAACUACGUGCCAGCAGCCGCGGUAAUACGUAGGUGGCAAGCGUUGUCCGGAUUUAUUGGGCGUAAAGCGAGCGCAGGCGGUUUUUUAAGUCUGAUGUGAAAGCCUUCGGCUCAACCGAAGAAGUGCAUCGGAAACUGGGAAACUUGAGUGCAGAAGAGGACAGUGGAACUCCAUGUGUAGCGGUGAAAUGCGUAGAUAUAUGGAAGAACACCAGUGGCGAAGGCGGCUGUCUGGUCUGUAACUGACGCUGAGGCUCGAAAGUAUGGGUAGCAAACAGGAUUAGAUACCCUGGUAGUCCAUACCGUAAACGAUGAAUGCUAAGUGUUGGAGGGUUUCCGCCCUUCAGUGCUGCAGCUAACGCAUUAAGCAUUCCGCCUGGGGAGUACGGCCGCAAGGCUGAAACUCAAAGGAAUUGACGGGGGCCCGCACAAGCGGUGGAGCAUGUGGUUUAAUUCGAAGCUACGCGAAGAACCUUACCAGGUCUUGACAUACUAUGCAAAUCUAAGAGAUUAGAUGUUCCCUUCGGGGACAUGGAUACAGGUGGUGCAUGGUUGUCGUCAGCUCGUGUCGUGAGAUGUUGGGUUAAGUCCCGCAACGAGCGCAACCCUUAUUAUCAGUUGCCAGCAUUAAGUUGGGCACUCUGGUGAGACUGCCGGUGACAAACCGGAGGAAGGUGGGGAUGACGUCAAAUCAUCAUGCCCCUUAUGACCUGGGCUACACACGUGCUACAAUGGAUGGUACAACGAGUUGCGAACUCGCGAGAGUAAGCUAAUCUCUUAAAGCCAUUCUCAGUUCGGAUUGUAGGCUGCAACUCGCCUACAUGAAGUCGGAAUCGCUAGUAAUCGCGGAUCAGCAUGCCGCGGUGAAUACGUUCCCGGGCCUUGUACACACCGCCCGUCACACCAUGAGAGUUUGUAACACCCAAAGUCGGUGGGGUAACCUUUUAGGAACCAGCCGCCUAAGGUGGGACAGAUGAUUAGGGUGAAGUCGUAACAAGGUAGCCGUAG